AAGAAGGGGUUAUCUCAGGCGGCAAAGAAGUAUGAGAAAGCUGAGAAACAAGGCAGUCCUGCUGAAGAAGAACCAUCAACCAGUUGUACUCUUCCCAAAAUACAAGGUCCAUCUCCCAAGAAAUUGAGAUCAGUCUCAGGGUUUGGUAUAUCAAAGUCACCAGUGCUGCCAGCUAUCUGCAUUAUUUGUAAAAAAAAAAAA